rnacentral:rRNA from 1 species
ACGUAGGGGGCGAGCGUUGUCCGGAGUUACUGGGCGUAAAGGGCACGUAGGCGGUCCUGCGCGUUUCCGGUGCCAGCUCCUUGCUUAACGAGGGGAGUGCCGGGAAGACGGUGGGACUUGAGGGCCUCAGAGGGACAUAGAAUUCCGGGUGGAGUGGUGAAAUGCGUAGAUAUCCGGAGGAAUACCAAAGGCGAAGGCAGUGUCCUGGGAGGUUGUACUGACGCUGAGGUGCGAAAGCCAGGGGAGCGAACGGGAUUAGAUACCCCGGUAGUCCUGGCCGUAAACGAUGACCAUCAGGUGUGCGGAGUAUCGACCCUCUGCGUGCCGGCGCAAACGCAUUAAAUGGUCCGCCUGGGGAGUACGGUCGCAAGAUUA